rnacentral:rRNA from 1 species
UGGUGGAGUGAUUUGUCUGGUUAAUUCCGUUAACGAACGAGACCUCGACCUGCUAAAUAGUUCGACGAAUCCUCUUGGAUUCGUACGUGACUUCUUAGAGGGACUUCGCUUGCGUAGGGUGAGGAGGUUCGAGGCAAUAACA